UACGUAGGGGGCAAGCGUUGUCCGGAUUUAUUGGGCGUAAAGAGCGUGUAGGCGGCCAGAUAGGUCUGUUGUGAAAACUCGAGGCUCAACCUCGAGACGCCGACGGAAACCAUCUGGCUAGAGUCCGGAAGAGGAGAGUGGAAUUCCUGGUGUAGCGGUGAAAUGCGCAGAUAUCAGGAGGAACACCGGUGGCGAAGGCGGCUUGCUGGGCCUUACCUGACGCUGAGGAGCGAAAGCGUGGGGAGCGAACAGG
rnacentral:rRNA from 1 species